GAUGAACGCUGGCGGCGUGCUUAACACAUGCAAGUCGAACGAUGAACCUCACUUGUGGGGGGAUUAGUGGCGAACGGGUGAGUAACACGUGAGUAACCUGCCCUUGACUCUGGGAUAAGCCUGGGAAACCGGGUCUAAUACUGGAUACGACCUUCUGGCGCAUGCCAUGUUGGUGGAAAGCUUUUGUGGUUUUGGAUGGACUCGCGGCCUAUCAGCUUGUUGGUGGGGUAAUGGCCUACCAAGGCGACGACGGGUAGCCGGCCUGAGAGGGUGACCGGCCACACUGGGACUGAGACACGGCCCAGACUCCUACGGGAGGCAGCAGUGGGGAAUAUUGCACAAUGGGCGCAAGCCUGAUGCAGCGACGCCGCGUGAGGGAGGAAGGCCUUCGGGGUGUAAACCUCUGUCAGUAGGGAAGAAGCAGGCUGUUGGGUUGGUGACGGUACCUGCAGAAGAAGCGCCGGCUAACUACGUG
rnacentral:rRNA from 1 species